GACGAACGCUGGCGGCGUGCCUAAUACAUGCAAGUAGAACGCUGAAGGAGGAGCUUGCUCUUCUGGAUGAGUUGCGAACGGGUGAGUAACGCGUAGGUAACCUGCCUGGUAGCGGGGGAUAACUAUUGGAAACGAUAGCUAAUACCGCAUAACAGUAGAUGUUGCAUGACAUUUGCUUAAAAGGUGCAAUUGCACCACUACCAGAUGGACCUGCGUUGUAUUAGCUAGUUGGUGGGGUAACGGCUCACCAAGGCGACGAUACAUAGCCGACCUGAGAGGGGGAUCGGCCACACUGGGACUGAGACACGGCCCAGACUCCUACGGGAGGCAGCAGUAGGGAAUCUUCGGCAAUGGACGGAAGUCUGACCGAGCAACGCCGCGUGAGUGAAGAAGGGUUUCGGAUCGUAAAGCUCUGUUGUAAGAGAAGAACGAGUGUGAGAGUGGAAAGUUCACACUGUGACGGUAGCUUAACAGAAAGGGACGGCUAACUACGUG
rnacentral:rRNA from 1 species